UACAGAGGUCUCAAGCGUUGUUCCGAUUCAUUGGGCGUAAAGGGUGCGUAGGUGGCGCGCUAAGUCAGGUGUGAAAUUUCGGAGCUUAACUCCGAAACUGCAUUUGAUACUGGCGUGCUUGAGGACUGGAGAGGAGACUGGAAUUCACGGUGUAGCAGUGAAAUGUGUAGAGAUCGUGAGGAAGACCAGUGGCGAAGGCGGGUCUCUGGACAGUUCCUGACACUGAGGCACGAAGGCCAGGGGAGCAAACGGG
rnacentral:rRNA from 1 species